rnacentral:rRNA from 1 species
UACGUAGGGUGCGAGCGUUGUCCGGAAUUAUUGGGCGUAAAGAGCUCGUAGGCGGUGUGUCACGUCGGCCGUGAAAACCUGCAGCUUAACUGUGGGCGUGCGGUCGAUACGGGCAUCACUGGAGUUCGGCAGGGGAGACUGGAAUUCCCGGUGUAGUGGUGGAAUGCGUAGAUAUCGGGAGGAACACCAGUGGCGAAGGCGGUUACCUGGAGCUUUGCUGACGCUGAUGCGCGAAAGCGUGGGGAGCGAUCCGG